GUCCUGCUAGCUCAGUCAGUAGAGCGAGAGACUUAGGGUCAUGGGUUUGAGCCCCAUGUUGGCCA